UGGGGAAUUUUGGACAAUGGGCGAAAGCCUGAUCCAGCAAUGCCGCGUGUGUGAAGAAGGCCUUCGGGUUGUAAAGCACUUUUGUCCGGAAAGAAAUCCUUGGCUCUAAUACAGUCGGGGGAUGACGGUACCGGAAGAAUAAGCACCGGCUAACUACGUGCCAGCAGCCGCGGUAAUACGUAGGGUGCAAGCGUUAAUCGGAAUUACUGGGCGUAAAGCGUGCGCAGGCGGUUUGCUAAGACCGAUGUGAAGUCCCCGGGCUCAACCUGGGAACUGCAUUGGUGACUGGCAGGCUAGAGUAUGGCAGAGGGGGGUAGAAUUCCACGUGUAGCAGUGAAAUGCGUAGAGAUGUGGAGGAAUACCGAUGGCGAAGGCAGCCCCCUGGGCCAAUACUGACGCUCAUGCACGAAAGCGUGGGGAGCAAACAGGAUUAGAUACCCUGGUAGUCCACGCCCUAAACGAUGUCAACUAGUUGUUGGGGAUUCAUUUCCUUAGUAACGUAGCUAACGCGUGAAGUUGACCGCCUGGGGAGUACGGUCGCAAGAUUAAAACUCAAAGGAAUUGACGGGGUCAUAGCUGUUUCC
rnacentral:rRNA from 1 species